rnacentral:rRNA from 1 species
CAGUAGCCACGGUAAUACGUAGGGUGCGAGCGUUAAUCGGAAUUACUGGGCGUAAAGCGUGCGCAGGCGGUUGUGUAAGACAGGUGUGAAUCCCCGGGCUUAACCUGGGAACUGCGCUUGUGACUGCACAGCUAGAGUAUGGCAGAGGGGGGUGGAAUUCCACGUGUAGCAGUGAAAUGCGUAGAUAUGCGGAGGAACACCGAUGGCGAAGGCAGCCCCCUGGGCCAAUACUGACGCUCAUGCACGAAAGCGUGGGGAGCAGACAGGAUUAGAUACCCGUGUAGUCCCUGUCUCUUAUACA